rnacentral:rRNA from 1 species
UAUCUCUGUAGAGUCUGCAUAUCAAUAAGCGGAGGAAAAGAAACUAACAAGGAUUCCCUAGUAACGGCGAGUGAAGCGGGGAAGAGCUCAAAUUUGAAAUCUUCAAGGUCUUCCCUUGACGAAUUGUAGUUUAUAAGAAGUGUUUUCUGUUAGAGAGUUUGGUAAAAGUUCUUUGGAAUAGGACAUCAUAGAGGGUGAGAAUCCCGUAUUUGAUCCACUUUCUACUAGCUUUGUGAUACACUUUCAACGAGUCGGAUUGUUUGGGAAUGCAGUCCAAAAUGGGUGGUAAAUUUCAUCUAAAGCUAAAUAUUGGCGAGAGACCGAUAGCGAACAAGUACCGUGAGGGAAAGAUGAAAAGAACUUUGAAAAGAGAGUUAAACAGUACGUGAAAUUGUCAAAAGGGAAGCGUUUGACACCAGUGUUGUUUUCUCGAAAAUCAAUUAAAAAAUGGCUCGAUUUUGUAUGUUGUAUUGACCUUAAAAGCUUUCUUCACUCUUUUCUUGUCUUUUUUAAUGCACUUUUCGUUUAACAAGUCAACAUCAGUUUCUUUUGUUGUAAAAGGGUCAUUGGAAGGUGGCUUUCUUUUCGGAGAAAGUGUUUAUAGCCUUUGAUCUCUGCAACCGGAGAGACUGAGGUCUGCAGCGUAGACUCUUCGGGGUUAGAUACAUUUGUGCUAAGCUAUAGCUUUUUAUAGACAACUUGUUGACUAUAUUUAGUCUUGUGGCUUACUCGCUUAUGCUAUUUUACCUACGCUUAGGAUGUUGAUGUGAUACUGCGAGCA